AGGCUCGUAGCUCAAUUGGCAGAGCACCGGUCUCCAAAACCGGGGGUUGCAGGUUCAAGUCCUGCCGGGCCUGCCA
rnacentral:tRNA from 1 species